UACGAAGGGGGCUAGCGUUGUUCGUAAUUACUGGGCAUAAAGCGUGCGCAGGCGGCUUCUCAAGUCAGGGGUGAAAGCCCAGAGCUCAACUCUGGAAUUGCCUUUGAGACUGAGUGGCUUGAGUACGAGAGAGGUGAGUGGAAUUCCCAGUGUAGAGGUGAAAUUCGUAGAUAUUGGGAAGAACACCGGUGGCGAAGGCGGCUCACUGGCUCGUAACUGACGCUCAUGCACGACAGCGUGGGGAUCAAACAGG
rnacentral:rRNA from 1 species